CAACCUACCCUAAGGUGGGGGAUAACCCCGGGAAACUGGGGAUAAUACCCCAUAGGCUAGAGAAGCUGGAAUGCUCUCAAGUUCAAAGGUCCGCCGCCUUAGGAUGGGUCUGCGGUCGAUUAGGUUGUUGUUGGGGUAACGGCCCAACAAGCCUGUAAUCGAUACGGGUUGUGGGAGCAAGAGCCCGGAGAUGGAAUCUGAGACACGAUUCCAGGCCCUACGGGGCGCAGCAGGCGCGAAAACUUUACAAUGCAGGAAACUGUGAUAAGGGAACCCCGAGUGCCCGUAUACGCGGGCUGUCCAGGUGUCUAAAACGCAUCUGAAGAAAGGGCCGGGCAAGACCGGUGCCAGCCGCCGCGGUAAUACCGGCGGCUCGAGUGGUGGCCACUAUUAUUGGGCUUAAAGCGUCCGUAGCUGGACCCUUAAGUCUCUUGGGAAAUCCGCCGGCUUAACCGACGGGCGUCUAAGAGAUACUGGGGGUCUAGGGACCGGGAGAGGUGAGAGGUACUCCGGGGGUAGGAGUGAAAUCCUGUAAUCCCCGGGGGACCACCGAUGGCGAAGGCAUCUCACCAGAACGGCUCCGACAGUGAGGGACGAAAGCUGGGGGAGCGAACCGGAUUAGAUACCCGGGUAGUCCCAGCCGUAAACUAUGCGCGUUAGGUGUACUGGUGACCACGAGUCACUGGGGUGCCGAAGGGAAACCGUGAAACGUGCCGCCUGGGAAGUACGGUCGCAAGGCUGAAACU
rnacentral:rRNA from 1 species